rnacentral:misc_RNA from 1 species
UCCGGUUUGUCACCGGCAGUCUCAUUAGAGUGCCCAACUAAAUGUAGCAACUAAUGACAAGGGUUGCGCUCGUUGCGGGACUUAACCCAACAUCUCACGACACGAGCUGACGACAGCCAUGCAGCACCUGUGUAACGGUUCUCUUUCGAGCACUCCCUGAUCUCUCAAGGAUUCCAUCCAUGUCAAGGGUAGGUAGGGUUUUUCGCGUUGCAUCGAAUUAAUCCACAUCAUCCACCGCUUGUGCGGGUCCCCGUCAAUUCCUUUGAGUUUUAACCUUGCGGCCGUACUCCCCAGGCGGAUAACUUAAUGCGUUAGCUGCGCCACCAAAAGCCCAUGGCCCCUGACAGCUAGUUAUCAUCGUUUACGGCGUGGACUAC